rnacentral:sRNA from 1 species
UGAGACUAAAAUCCUCCCCAUCUUGAUCUUCACUGUCCUCAGUGACUGUCUUUGGUUCCUCUCUAGUU